rnacentral:rRNA from 1 species
GCGCGAAACCUCUGCAAUAGGCGAAAGCCUGACAGGGUUACUCUGAGUGAUUUCCGUUAAGGAGAUCUUUUGGCACCUCUAAAAAUGGUGCAGAAUAAGGGGUGGGCAAGUCUGGUGUCAGCCGCCGCGGUAAUACCAGCACCCCGAGUGGUCGGGACGUUUAUUGGGCCUAAAGCAUCCGUAGCCGGUUCUGCAAGUCUUCCGUUAAAUCCACCUGCUUAACAGAUGGGCUGCGGAAGAUACUAUAGAGCUAGGAGGAGGGAGAGGCAAGCGGUACUCGAUGGGUAGGGGUAAAAUCCGUUGAUCCAUUGAAGACCACCAGUGGCGAAGGCGGCUUGCCAGAACGCGCUCGACGGUGAGGGAUGAAAGCUGGGGGAGCGAAACCGGAUUAGAUACCCGGGUAGUCCCAGCUGUAAACGAUGCAGACUCGGUGAUGAAUUGGCUUUAUGCCAAUUCAGUGCCGCAGGGAAGCCGUUAAGUUUGCCGCCUGGGGGAUACGGUCGCAAGACUGAAACUUAAGGAAGUU